UGCCAGCCUCCUCGGUAAUACGGAGAGGGCAAGCGUUGUUCGGAAUCACUGGGCAUAAAGCGCACGUAGGCGGAUUGGAAAGUCGGUUGUGAAAGCCCGGGGCUCAACCCCGGAAUUGCUUCCGAAACUGCCAGUCUGGAGGACGAGAGGGGAGAGUGGAACUUCUGGUGGAGCGGUGAAAUGCGUAGAUAUCAGAAGGAACACCGGUGGCGAAAGCGACUCUCUGGCUCGUUUCUGACGCUGAGGUGCGAAAGCCAGGGGAGCAAACGGGAUUAGAUA
rnacentral:rRNA from 1 species